GUGCAGCAGGCGAGAAACCUCCGCAAUGCUCGAAAGAGCGGCGGGGGACUCCAAGUGCCUACGCUUUGCGUAGGCUUUUCCCAAGCCUAAAAAGCUUGGGGAAUAAGGGCUGGGUAAGACGGGUGCCAGCCGCCGCGGUAAUACCCGCAGCCCGAGUGGUGGCCGCUUUUAUUGGGCCUAAAGCGUCCGUAGCCGGUCUGGUAAAUGCCUGGGUAAAUCGUCUGGCUCAACCAGACGAAUUCCGGGUAGACUGCCAGACUAGGGACCGGAGGAAGGAGAGGGUACUCCGGGGGUAGGGUGAAAUCAGCAAGGUGAGUUGUUGAUGUAACUUGCCUUGCAAGUCACAAUCCUGUAAUCCUCGGAGGACCACCGGUGGCGAAGGCGCUCUCCUAGGACGGGUCCGACGGUGAGGGACGAAAGCCAGGGGAGCAAACCGGAUUAGAUACCCCUGUAGU
rnacentral:rRNA from 1 species